AACGAACGCUGGCGGCAUGCCUAACGCAUGCAAGUCGAACGAAGUCUUCGGACUUAGUGGCGCACGGGUGCGUAACGCGUGGGAAUCUGCCCUUGGGUACGGAAUAACUCAGAGAAAUUUGUGCUAAUACCGUAUAAUGUCUUCGGACCAAAGAUUUAUCGCCCAAGGAUGAGCCCGCGUAAGAUUAGCUAGUUGGUGGGGUAAAAGCCUACCAAGGCGACGAUCUUUAGCUGGUCUGAGAGGAUGAUCAGCCACACUGGGACUGAGACACGGCCCAGACUCCUACGGGAGGCAGCAGUGGGGAAUAUUGGACAAUGGGCGAAAGCCUGAUCCAGCAAUGCCGCGUGAGUGAUGAAGGCCCUAGGGUUGUAAAGCUCUUUUACCAGGGAUGAUAAUGACAGUACCUGGAGUAUAAGCUCCGGCUAACUCCGUG
rnacentral:rRNA from 1 species